UGGUGGAGUGGUUUGUCUGGUUAAUUCCGUUAACGAACGAGACCUUAACCUGCUAAAUAGUUACGAGAAUCUUUUGAUUCUUGGAUUAACUUCUUAGAGGGACUAUUGAUGUUUAAUCAAUGGAAGUUUGAGGCAAUAACA
rnacentral:rRNA from 1 species